GGUUCCUUAUUCGUCAAAAUUAUUUUCAUCAAUUUACUUUUUUUGUAAAUGAUAGUAUGACUGGGUCAGGAUUUGGCAUUGUGAUUUACUUCAGUCACCAUCAAGUUUAAAUAAUUAUUAUAGAAAUUAUUUUUGGUAAAAAGUUAUAAAAUGGCUCCAUGGACGAGUUCAGCAACUCCAGAACAAGUAGAUACACUCCUCAACUUUCUGAACAUCGCGACCCUGCCCGCAAACAUCUGCGAAGUGUAGAAGGCAAGCAAGCAAGACGAAGUGUGCAACCUCCUAAAUGCUAUGGGCGAUUGCACAAAUACAGACAUGCAGGGGCAAAAAGUUUGGUUUAACCGAAAAAGCUGUUGCUGACUCCCGGUGGUCGGCUACAAUGACUGGAGGUGGGCCGGGAACAAGUUAAUACUCCACCUCCACCAUACUCCAAUAAUCUAGAUAGUGGGAAUUCUGAAGUAAUCUAGAUAUCUUAUAGCAGAAGCAUAUCGUUAUUUGGAGGAUUUUUAGCUAUAAACUUAUUCAUACAAAAACAAUGUAAAUGCACAUGUAAGAAACAAUUGUUUAACUUUAAAAUUAUUUGUGUCUCAAAUUAAUGUGCGUUUUAAUUUUGUACUGUCAGUAUUUGUAUGCUGUUAUUGUACUUACGCAUAUAAUGUUGAAUAUUGGAUUAUAUAAUAUAUAAAUAUAUCAGUGAAAUGUGUUUCUAUUGGACCACUUUUAUUUCUGUUUUUAUAAGAUUUUAUUCUAUUUAAAUGCUUUAACAUUUAAAGCUUG